rnacentral:rRNA from 1 species
AUGGUCUGGACCGUUCGGGUGCCACUGAAGAUUCGCAUCUUCAUGUGGCAAUGGAUCCGUGGUAGGCUUCCGUCUGGUGUGGAGGUCCGCAAGCGCAAUGGCCCAGGCACCGGUAUCUGCCCGCUCUGUGGUGUCCCGGAGGACUCAAACCACAUCUUCUUCUCCUGCAUCUCCGCACAAUUCCUCUGGAGCUGCUUUCGCGAGGUGGUCGGAGGGAGUUGGUGCCACACCAACUUCCCGGACCUUUUUGCUGAACUCCAACUGUCCCCGUAUCCUCUCGCCACAUUAGGUGGCUGGAAGUUGGGGUGCUUGCUUGGACGUUGUGGACCGUUCGCAAUAAACUUGUGA